rnacentral:rRNA from 1 species
GAUGAACGCUGGCGGCGUGCCUAAUACAUGCAAGUCGAGCGAACGGACGAGAAGCUUGCUUCUCUGAUGUUAGCGGCGGACGGGUGAGUAACACGUGGAUAACCUACCUAUAAGACUGGGAUAACUUCGGGAAACCGUAGCUAAUACCGGAUAAUAUUUUGAACCGCAUGGUUCAAAAGUGAAAGACGGUCUUGCUGUCACUUAUAGAUGGAUCCGCGCUGCAUUAGCUAGUUGGUAAGGUAACGGCUUACCAAGGCAACGAUGCAUAGCCGACCUGAGAGGGUGAUCGGCCACACUGGAACGGAGACACGGUACAGACUCCUACGGGAGGCAGCAGUAGGGAAUAUUCCGCAAUGGGAGAAAGCCUGACGGAGCAAAGCCGCGUGAGUGAUGAAGGUCUUCGGAUCGUAAAACUCUGUUAUUAGGGAAGAACAGAUGUGUAAGUAACUGUGCACAUCUUGACGGUACCUAAUCAGAAAGCCACGGCUAACUACGUG